rnacentral:lncRNA from 1 species
UUUUAAUCAACUGUGUGUUCUUCCAUAGAACGUCUUUUUGGCUGGUUUUCUGUUAUUGAACAUUUAGGUUACUUCUGAUUUUUUUUGUUAUCAUUGUUAUUAGAAGUGAUGUUCCAAUUAUUUGUCUCUCCGCAAAUCUGCAUGAGCCACUGCACCCAGUCCUCAUUUAGAUUUAUUAAACUUUCAUGGUUCGAGCUUUCCAUAUGUUUUGUUUGUGACAUGGUCUCUCUGGAGUACACUGGUACAAGCCUUGAACUCCUGGGCUUAAAUGACCCUCCCACCCCAGCCUCCCAAAGUACUGGGAUUACAGGUGUGAGCCACUGUGCUUGGCUUCCCCUGCUCCUCAGAUUCUUCAGGUAGAAACUUAAGUUAUUGAUUUGAGCCUCCCUUUUUCUUAAUCCAAAGCUAAAAACUUUUGAGUGUUGCUUUUUUACAUCUCAUAAAUUUGGAUAUAUUGGGGUUUUGUUUGCAUUUAGUUUAAAAUUCUUUUUUUUUUUUUUUUUGAGACGGAGUCUCACUCUGUUGCUCAGGCUGGAGUGCAGUGGCAUAAUCCUGGCUCACUGCAACCUCCGCCUCCCAAGUUCAAGCGAUUCUCCUACCUCAGCCUCCCGAGUAGCUGGGAUUACAGGCACAUGCCACCAUGCCCAGCUAAUUUUGUAUUUUUAGUAGAGACAGGGUUUCACAUGUUGGCCAGGCUGGUCUCCAACUCCUGACCUCAGGUGAUCCACCCACCUAGACCUCCCAAAGUGCCAGGAUUACAGGCGUGAGCCACCGAGCCCGGCCCAGUUUAAAAUAUUUUCUAAUUUCCUUUGUGAUUUCUUCCUUGUUACAUGGGUUAUUUAGAAGUGUAUUAGGCUCCAUGUAUUUGAGGAUUUCCCAAGUCUUUUUCUGUUGUUGAUUUCUAAUUUAAUUUCAUUAUUUCAUUUUUUUUUUUAUUUACCAAGGCUUGUUUUAUGUCCCAGAAUGGUGUCUUUUAGUGGAUGUUCCAUGUUCACUUGAGUAGAAUGUGUAGUCUGCUGUCAUUGGGUGGAAUGUUCUGUAAAUGUCAGCCAAGUUAAGUUGGUUGGUAGUGAUGGUAAGGUUUGCUUGUUCUGUCAGUUACCAAAAGAGGAGUUUUGAAUUAUUCAACUAAAUUGUAGAUUUGUUCCUCCCCCGCACCCCCCACUUUUUUUUGGCCAUUUUUGCUUUAUUUAUUUCGAAGUUUUCUGUUGGUGUAUACACGUUUAUGAUUGUAUGGCUUCUUGAUGAACUGACCUCUUUAUUAUUAUGUAACAUAUCUCUUCAUGUCUAGUUAUAUUCCUUGUUCUGAAGUCCAUUUCAUCUGGUAUUAGUGUUGCCACUCGUGCUUUCUUUUGAUUAAAGUUCACAUGAUAUAUCUUAUU